ACUAUUACACCAUACACCUUGCACCAUUACACCAUACAUGUUACACCUUCGCACCAUACACCUUACACAUUACACCAUACACCAUUCCCCAUUCUAUCUACAUGAUCCGAAAUAACCCAUAAUGCAAUGAAAUUUCAAAUAUUAACAUUAUUAUUACUGUUUAUGUUUACAAUUCGAAAAAAUAAAAUAAAAAGAACUUCAUUUUCAACCAAUGAAAUGACGUACACCAUCA
rnacentral:lncRNA from 1 species